rnacentral:rRNA from 1 species
AGAGUUUGAUCAUGGCUCGGGACGAACGCUGGCGGCGUGCCUAAUACAUGCAAGUCGAACGAAGCUUUCUUUCACCGAAUGCUUACAUUCACCGAAAGAAGCUUAGUGGCGAACGGGUGAGUAACACGUAGGCAACCUGCCCAAAAGAGGGGGAUAACACUUGGAAACAGGUGCUAAUACCGCAUAACCAUGAACACCGCAUGAUGUUCAUGUAAAAGACGGCUUUUGCUGUCACUUUUGGAUGGGCCUGCGGCGUAUUAACUUGUUGGUGGGGUAACGGCCUACCAAGGUGAUGAUACGUAGCCGAACUGAGAGGUUGAUCGGCCACAUUGGGACUGAGACACGGCCCAAACUCCUACGGGAGGCAGCAGUAGGGAAUCUUCCACAAUGGACGAAAGUCUGAUGGAGCAACGCCGCGUGAAUGAAGAAGGCCUUCGGGUCGUAAAAUUCUGUUGUCAGAGAAGAACGUGCGUGAGAGUAACUGUUCACGUAUUGACGGUAUCUGACCAGAAAGCCACGGCUAACUACGUGCCAGCAGCCGCGGUAAUACGUAGGUGGCGAGCGUUGUCCGGAUUUAUUGGGCGUAAAGGGAACGCAGGCGGUCUUUUAAGUCUGAUGUGAAAGCCUUCGGCUUAACCGAAGUAGUGCAUUGGAAACUGGAAGACUUGAGUGCAGAAGAGGAGAGUGGAACUCCAUGUGUAGCGGUGAAAUGCGUAGAUAUAUGGAAGAACACCAGUGGCGAAAGCGGCUCUCUGGUCUGUAACUGACGCUGAGGUUCGAAAGCGUGGGUAGCAAACAGGAUUAGAUACCCUGGUAGUCCACGCCGUAAACGAUGAGUGCUAAGUGUUGGAGGGUUUCCGCCCUUCAGUGCUGCAGCUAACGCAUUAAGCACUCCGCCUGGGGAGUACGGUCGCAAGACUGAAACUCAAAGGAAUUGACGGGGGCCCGCACAAGCGGUGGAGCAUGUGGUUUAAUUCGAAGCAACGCGAAGAACCUUACCAGGUCUUGACAUCUUCUGACAAUUCCAGAGAUGGAACGUUCCCUUCGGGGACAGAAUGACAGGUGGUGCAUGGUUGUCGUCAGCUCGUGUCGUGAGAUGUUGGGUUAAGUCCCGCAACGAGCGCAACCCUUAUUGUCAGUUGCCAUCAUUAAGCUGGGCACUCUGGCGAGACUGCCGGUGACAAACCGGAGGAAGGUGGGGAUGACGUCAAAUCAUCAUGCCCCUUAUGACCUGGGCUACACACGUGCUACAAUGGACGGUACAACGAGUCGCUAACUCGCGAGGGCAAGCUAAUCUCUUAAAGCCGUUCUCAGUUCGGAUUGCAGGCUGCAACUCGCCUGCAUGAAGUCGGAAUCGCUAGUAAUCGCGAAUCAGCAUGUCGCGGUGAAUACGUUCCCGGGCCUUGUACACACCGCCCGUCGCACCAUGAGAGUUUGUAACACCCAAAGUCGGUGGGGUAACCUUUUGGAGCCAGCCGCCUAAGGUGGGACAGAUGAUUGGGGUGAAGUCGUAACAAGGUA